rnacentral:snRNA from 1 species
GGAUCCGUAACUUCGGGA